rnacentral:rRNA from 1 species
CCCCUAGAUGUUCUGGGCCGCACGCGCGCUACACUGAACAGUUCAACAAGUCUUAACCUUGGCCGAUAGGUCUGGGUAAUCUUUGAACGCUGUUCGUGAUUGGGAUAGACCUUUGCAAUUAUGGGUCUUCAACGAGGAAUUCCUAGUAAACGCAAGUCAUCAGCUUGCAUUGAUUACGUCCCUGCCCUUUGUACACACCGCCCGUCGCACCUACCGAUUGAAUGGUCCGGUGAAAUCUCGGGACGGCGGCUUGGUCGCUUGCGUCCGACUGCAGAAACUUGAUUAAACCAUAUCAUUUAGAGGAAGGUGAANUCGUANCA